rnacentral:rRNA from 1 species
CAGCCGCCGCGGGAAUACGGAGGGGGCUAGCGUUGUUCGGAAUUACUGGGCGUAAAGCGCACGUAGGCGGCUUGGUAAGUUAGAGGUGAAAGCCCGAAGCUCAACUCCGGAAUUGCCUUUAAGACUGCCGAGCUAGCAGGUGAGAGAGGUAAGUGGAAUUCCGAGUGUAGAGGUGAAAUUCGUAGAUAUUCGGAAGAACACCAGUGGCGAAGGCGGCUUACUGGCUCAUACUGGACGCUGAGGUGCGAAAGCGUGGGGAGCAAACAGGAUUAGAUACCCCUGUAGUCCCUGUCUCUUAUAC